rnacentral:rRNA from 1 species
AUUGAACGCUGGCGGCAUGCCUUACACAUGCAAGUCGAACGGUAACAGGUCUUCGGAUGCUGACGAGUGGCGAACGGGUGAGUAAUACAUCGGAACGUGCCUAGUAGUGGGGGAUAACUACCCGAAAGAGUGGCUAAUACCGCAUGAGAUCUACGGAUGAAAGCAGGGGAUCGCAGGACCGUGUGCUACUAGAUCGGCUGAUGGCAGAUUAGGUAGUUGGUGGGAUACAAGCUUACCAAGCCGACGAUCUGUAGCUGGUCUGAGAGGACGAUCAGCCACACUGGGACUGAGACCCGGCCCAGACUCCUACGGGAGGCAGCAGUGGGGAAUUUUGGACAAUGGGCGAAAGCCUGAUCCAGCAAUGCCGCGUGCAGGAUGGAGGCCUUCGGGUUGUAAACUGCUUUUGUACGGAACGAAAAGCCCCGGGUUAAUACCCUGGGGUCAUGACGGUACCGUAAGAAUAAGCACCGGCUAACUACGUGCCAGCAGCCGCCGUAA